CCCGCACAAGCGGCGGAGCAUGUGGAUUAAUUCGAUGCAACGCGAAGAACCUUACCUGGGUUUGACAUACACCGGAAAACCGUAGAGAUACGGUCCCCCUUGUGGUCGGUGUACAGGUGGUGCAUGGCUGUCGUCAGCUCGUGUCGUGAGAUGUUGGGUUAAGUCCCGCAACGAGCGCAACCCUUGUCUUAUGUUGCCAGCACGUAAUGGUGGGGACUCGUAAGAGACUGCCGGGGUCAACUCGGAGGAAGGUGGGGACGACGUCAAGUCAUCAUGCCCCUUAUGUCCAGGGCUUCACACAUGCUACAAUGGCCAGUACAGAGGGCUGCGAGACCGUGAGGUGGAGCGAAUCCCUUAAAGCUGGUCUCAGUUCGGAUCGGGGCCUGCAACUCGACCCCGUGAAGUCGGAGUCGCUAGUAAUCGCAGAUCAGCAACGCUGCGGUGAAUACGUUCCCGGGCCUU
rnacentral:rRNA from 1 species